AUUGAAAUCCAGAUGAUCGCUCUUUUUGCCUUCGGGCGGGAAGGGAGGAAAGUCCGGACUCCACAGGGGAGGGUGCUGGCUAACGGCCAGGGUUCGCCGUAAGGCGGAUACGGAAAGUGCCACAGAGACGAGGCCCGGGGAAACCCGGGGGUGAAACGCGGCAAACCCCACCCGGAGCAAGGUCAAAUAGGUAACCGUUACGAGGCUCCCCGGCCCAGGUUACGGGUAGACCGCUAGAGGCCCAAAGUAAUUUGGGUCCCAGAUAAAUGAUCAUCCACGACAGAAUCCGGCUUACGGAUUUCUUUUGAA
rnacentral:RNase_P_RNA from 1 species